UACGUAGGGGGCAAGCGUUGUCCGGAAUUAUUGGGCGUAACGAGCGUGUAGGCGGUCCGGUAAGUCAGCUGUGAAAGUCAAGGGCUCAACCCUUGAAAGCCGGUUGAUACUGUCGGGCUAGAGUCCGGAAGAGGCGAGUGGAAUUCCCGGUGUAGCGGUGAAAUGCGCAGAUAUCGGGAGGAACACCAAUUGCGAAGGCAGCUCGCUGGGACGUUACUGACGCUGAGACGCGAAAGCGUGGGGAGCAAACAGG
rnacentral:rRNA from 1 species